rnacentral:rRNA from 2 species
GUAGACGCGAAACCGUGUGAUCUACCCAUGGGCAGGUUGAAGCUGUAGUAACAUACAGUGGAGGACCGAACCCGUUGACGUUGAAAAGUCUUGGGAUGACCUGUGGGUAGGGGUGAAAGGCCAAUCAAACUCGGAAAUAGCUCGUACUCCCCGAAAUGCAUUUAGGUGCAGCGUAUUAUUAGUUUUAUAGAGGUAGAGCUACUGAUUGGAUGCGGGGGCUUCACCGCCUACCAAUUCCUGACAAACUCCGAAUGCUAUAAAAUGAUGUAAUGCAGUGAGGGCAUGGGUGCUAAGGUCCAUGUCCGAGAGGGAAAGAACCCAGACCAUCAGCUAAGGUCCCAAAAUGUAUGUUAAGUUGAAUAAACGAGGUUGGAUUGCAUAGACAGCUAGGAUGUUGGCUUGGAAGCAGCCAUUCAUUUAAAGAGUGCGUAACAGCUCACUAGUCGAGCGAUCCGGCAUGGAUAAUAAUCGGGCAUAAACAUACUACCGAAGCUAUGGACUUGUAAAAGUGGUAGGGGAGCAUUGUAGUGUCGUCGAAGGUGAAGCGUGAGCUUUGCUGGAGAAGCUACAAAAGAAAAUGUAGGCAUAAGUAACGAUAAUGCGGGCGAGAAACCCGCACACCGAAAGACUAAGGUUUCCUCAGCUAUGCUAAUCAGCUGAGGGUUAGUCGGGACCUAACGCGAACCCGAAAGGGGUAGUGGAUGGACAACAGGUUAAUAUUCCUGUACCUGCUCACGCUAAAAGUGACGGAGGCGAAAAGUUAGUGCGCACAGACGGAAUUGUGCGUUGAAGCCAGUGGUAACACGGCGAUAGUACACUAAGGCUUCGGCUGCGGUGAUAAUCUAGCAAAUCGACUUCCAAGAAAAGCAAGUGAAGCAGCCCGUACCCUAAACCGACACAGGUAGUUGGGAUGAGAAUUCUAAGGUGCUCGAGAGAUUCAUGGCUAAGGAACUAGGCAAAAUCGACCCGUAACUUCGGGAGAAGGGUCGCCCAUCUUCGGAUGGGCCGCAGUGAAGAGGUCCAGGCGACUGUUUAUCAAAAACACAGGGCUCUGCUAAAUCGAAAGAUGAUGUAUAGGGCCUGACACCUGCCCGGUGCUGGAAGGUUAAGUGGAGGGGUUAGCUUCGGCGAAGCUCUGAAAUGAAGCCCCAGUAAACGGCGGCCGUAACUAUAACGGUCCUAAGGUAGCGAAAUUCCUUGUCGGGUAAGUUCCGACCUGCACGAAUGGUGCAACGAUCUGGACACUGUCUCAGCCAUGAGCUCGGUGAAAUUGUAGUAUCGGUGAAGAUGCCGAUUACCCGCUGUGGGACGAAAAGACCCCGUGCACCUUUACUAUAGCUUAGUAUUGGUUUUGGAUAAGUAAUGUGUAGGAUAGGUGGGAGACUUUGAAGUGGCGUCGCUAGGCGUUGUGGAGUCAUUGUUGAAAUACCACCCUUUGCUUAUCUAGAGUCUAACUUUCCUUGAAAGGACAGUGCUUGGUGGGUAGUUUGACUGGGGUGGUCGCCUCCAAAAGAGUAACGGAGGCUUCUAAAGGUGCCCUCAGCACGCUUGGUAACCGUGCGUAGAGUGCAAUGGCAUAAGGGCGCUUGACUGAGAGACAUACAGGUCGAUCAGGUACGAAAGUAGAGCAUAGUGAUCCGGUGGUUCCGUAUGGAAGGGCCAUCGCUCAAAGGAUAAAAGGUACGCCGGGGAUAACAGGCUGAUCUCCCCCAAGAGCUCACAUCGACGGGGGGGUUUGGCACCUCGAUGUCGGCUCGUCACAUCCUGGGGCUGGAGAAGGUCCCAAGGGUUGGGCUGUUCGCCCAUUAAAGUGGCACGCGAGCUGGGUUCAGAACGUCGUGAGACAGUUCGGUCUCUAUCUGCUGUGGGCGUUAGAAAUUUGCGUGGAUCUGACUCUAGUACGAGAGGACCGAGUUGGACUGACCUCUAGUGUACCUGUUGUUUCGCCAGAAGCAUAGCAGGGUAGCCACGUCGGGAAGGGAUAAGCGCUGAAAGCAUAUAAGCGCGAAACCCACCACAAGAUGAGAUUUCUUUAAAGGGUCGUUGGAGAUUACAACGUUGAUAGGUCAUAGGUGUAAAGGCAGUAAUGUCAUAGCCAAGUGAUACUAAUAACCCAUAGACUUAUGUAC